UAGGGAAUCUUCGGCAAUGGGGGCAACCCUGACCGAGCAACGCCGCGUGAGUGAAGAAGGUUUUCGGAUCGUAAAGCUCUGUUGUAAGAGAAGAACGUGUGUGAGAGUGGAAAGUUCACACAGUGACGGUAACUUACCAGAAAGGGACGGCUAACUACGUGCCAGCAGCCGCGGUAAUACGUAGGUCCCGAGCGUUGUCCGGAUUUAUUGGGCGUAAAGCGAGCGCAGGCGGUUUAUUAAGUCUGAAGUUAAAGGCAGUGGCUUAACCAUUGUUCGCUUUGGAAACUGUUAAGCUUGAGUGCAGAAGGGGAGAGUGGAAUUCCAUGUGUAGCGGUGAAAUGCGUAGAUAUAUGGAGGAACACCGGUGGCGAAAGCGGCUCUCUGGUCUGUAACUGACGCUGAGGCUCGAAAGCGUGGGGAGCAAACAGG
rnacentral:rRNA from 1 species